ensembl:lncRNA
AGAUGGUGGUAGCUGCUGUGUGUUGGGCAUGAUUCUGAGAGCCUUCUGUUUGAUUUGACCGUGACCCAUGAGAAAAGGGAGAUGCUGGCACCCGUGGUGGUCAGCUGAGGACGCUGAAGCACGGAGGGCUUGACUGUGUUGGCGAUUCCCUGUGGGCUGCUCCUCCAGGCAGCGUGGCUUGAGCGCAGGUCUCAGCCCCCGAGCCAUGCUGCCCUCUGCCCGGGAGCUGCCCACCGGCCCGGGGGACUCACCCUGACAGGUGCCGCCUGUUAGCCCUUCCUGUCCCCUCCACGUGCCCUUUGUCUUUGUUCAGAAUAAGGGGUGAAAGCAAGCUUUUUAAGCCAUGAAAUUGAUGAUAGUUUUAUAAAACACAGACUUAGCGACUUUAUUUUUAAGUUUUAAAAUUACUCGUGAUUAUUUGUAAUUUUUCAACAUAAACGUUCAUUACGAAAAAUUCAAGUGAUGUAGGAGUAUAAAGAACAGGUGAAAGUCUCUGUCUCCACUGUUUUUUCCCCAGAUGAAUUUCUUUACCUUUUGCUUUGUGAGUUGAGUUCAUUUUUUCUCCUGAAUCCAGACGCAAGCUUCUGUUUACAUGGGCAGAUUCCUCCACUGGUGUGUGGAUAAGCUGAUCCCCUUGAAACUCUGCUGUGUCUGGGUGUAAAUCUGCUCCUGGAGCCCACCCGACAGUCAGGGAUGGGUGACGUUGCUGAGGCCCCGUGAGGGCCUCGUUUAAGGAGCAGUGGACGUUCUCAUUAACGCUCUCGCAGACUUGGCCCUGCCUUUCUCUGCGCCUGUGAGGCAGUCCUGGUCAUCGUGUAGAUGUCCACUGAUGGCGGAGGGCCGGAACAGCCCAGGGAUGGCGGCACGGGUGACUCCACGGUGGGGGAAACGAUCCUGCCUUUGCUCGCAGUGGCCAGGUUUUUGUUUCUCCUGUUCCAGGCAAGUCAGAGAGAGAAGAUGAACGAGGAGCAUAACAAACGCCUGUCCGACACCGUCGACAAGCUUCUGUCAGAGUCUGAUGAGAGGCUCCAGCUUCAUCUCAAAGAGAGGAUGGCUGCCCUGGAAGACAAGGAUCAGCUCGUACUGGACAUCGAAGCCUUGAGGGCUGAAGCUGGACCCAAGCGAGGCUGAGAGGGUGUCCCUUCACCACGGGUACCGGCACUCACGCGUUCACAGACAUACUCCAGCACCUGCUGUGUGUGUACGGGGCGCUCACAGACGUGCUCCGGCAUCUGCCGUGUGUGUACAGGCCACUCACGUGCUCACAGACGUGCUCUGGCACCUGCCGUGUGUGUACGGGCCACGCAUGCGCUCACAGACACUCUCCAGCACCUGCCGUGUGUGUACAGGGUGCUCGCACACUCACAGACGCACUCCAGCACCUGCUGUGUGUGUACAGGGCGCUCACACCCUCACAGACAAUCUCCAGCACCUGCUGUGUGUGUCCGGGGCGCUCACAGACAUGCUCCGGCAUCUGCCAUGUGUGUCCAGGGGAUUCACGUGCUCACAGACAUGCUCCGGCACCUGCCAUGUGUGUACAGGGCACUCAUGCGCUCACAGACACGCUCCAGCACCUGCCCUGUGUGUACAGGGUGCUCGCACACUCACAGACACAUUCCAGCACCUGCUGUGUGUGUACAGGGGCGCUCACAGACAUGCUCCAGCACCUGCCGUGUGUGUACAGGGCACUCACGUGCUCACAGACAUGCUCCGGCACCUGUCAUGUAUGUACAGGGCGCUCACAUGCUCACAGACGCACUCCAGCACCUGCCGUGUGUGUACAGGGCGCUCACAUGCUCACAGGCGCACUCUGGCACGUGCCAUGUGUGUACAGGGUGCUCACGCGCUCACAGACACACUCCAGCACCUGCCAUGUGUGUGCAGGGUGCUCACGUGCUCACAGACGUGCUCUGGCACCUGCUGUGUGUGUACGGGGUGCUCAGACAUGUUCAAGCGCCUGUCGUAUGUGUAUAGGGCGCUCACACCCUCACAGACGCACUCCAGCACCUGCCGUGUGUGUACAGGGCGCUCACAUGCUCACAGGCGCACUCUGGCACGUGCCAUAUGUGUACAGGGUGCUCACGUGCUCACAGACACGCUCCAGCACCUGCUGUGUGUGUACGGGGAGCUCACGCACUCACAGACACGCUCCAGCCCCUGCCGUGUGUGUACAGGAACACAUGCAGGCCACAGGGGCAGCCAACUGAACACACUGCCUGGCCUGAGCUCAGGGAGCCUGGAGCUUCGGAGCAGGCCGGAGGGCAGAGGACAGCAUCAUCCUGAAGGUUAGGUUCUGGUACCUUGGAGGUUCCCGUCACGUCCUUGACUCAACUCAGAACCGCAGGAGGAGGUGGGGCUGGGGACGAUUGAUUAGUGUCAGGCAUAUGAGUCUGAGGCACCCGACAGAGUGUGGGCGUGAUGGUGUCGGGAUCGGAGGACAGAGCCCAGGGUGCCAGAGGAAGCCCCGUCCACCUGGGAGUGACGGUCGCAUCCUCGAGGUGAAAGAGAAGGCCGCGGAGAGCCUGCGCUGCUGGAGCGGGAGGAUGCCCUGACGUUCGCGUGUCUGGUGCGGCGCUUGGAGUCUGUAUGUUUUGAAGAGGCUGAGAGUUAACGGCAUGGCGCUCGCAGAUCUUUCGAGGCGUGACCGGGCCGGCUGCUGCGGGAGUGAGCCCCCUGGCUCGGCGUGAAUCUACCAAGUUGCCCGGCAUCCUGAGUUUUUCUUCCUCAUCGUGGUAGAGGCGGUAAUUCUCAUUUAGGUGAUUUACUUCUUUGUAGAAAAUGGUCAUCAAGUGAGAGUUACGCUUUAGCAAAAGUUAUCGAAGCGCUUACCUGGUGGCAGUGACUGAAACACAGGAGACGGGCCCCUGCCUCCAACACGACUCAGGAGGAAGCUCCGAACCUCUGCAGGUGUUCCGGCAUUUGCCAAGUUAGGACAUCCUGAAGGUUUAGGGUAUCUUGCGGCUGUCCCUGCCUAGCCCACUCCUAGAAACUAGAGGAGAAAUCAGCGAGGACAGAGAGGCAGAGCCAGAAGCUUCCCCUGACGCCGAACCCGCUGGAAGGUGGAGUUUCGAGGAGGAGAGUGUGCGCUUCAGAGAGCGAGGUGCAGAGGAGGACCAGUGCAGGGAACAGGCACUUGCUUUCUGCUUCAGGUCCUCGCUGGUGGAAGGCUCGUGUCGUUAGAGCGCUGCAGGCGGACCCGCUGCUCGGGAUUGCAGGCGUGUGUGCGAGGAGGCUCUCACAGGCACGUGGGUGAAGAGGAAGUGGACACGCGUGUGUGACUCUUGUGGAAGUCGAGUCCUGAAGGGAAGGGAGCCGGUGUAGGAGCUUGAGGGGGUGGCAGAGCUGGGGGCAGUUU